rnacentral:rRNA from 1 species
GCAACGCGCAGAACCUUACCAGGGUUUGACAUCCUGCGACCGCUCCUUAAUAGGAGUUUUCCCGCAAGGGACGCAGAGACAGGUGCUGCAUGGCUGUCGUCAGCUCGUGUCGUGAGAUGUUGGGUUAAGUCCCGCAACGAGCGCAACCCUCGCCUUUAGUUGCCAUCAUUCAGUUGGGCACUCUAGAGGGACCGCCGGCGACAAGCCGGAGGAAGGUGGGGAUGACGUCAAGUCCUCAUGGCCCUUACACCCUGGGCUACACACGUGCUACAAUGGCGGUGACAGUGGGCAGCUACUUCGCGAGAAGCGGCUAAUCCCAAAAAACCGCCCCAGUUCAGAUUGUACUCUGCAACUCGAGUACAUGAAGGUGGAAUCGCUAGUAA